AUUGAACGCUGGCGGCAGGCCUAACACAUGCAAGUCGAGCGGAUGAGUGGAGCUUGCUCCAUGAUUCAGCGGCGGACGGGUGAGUAAUGCCUAGGAAUCUGCCUGGUAGUGGGGGACAACGUUUCGAAAGGAACGCUAAUACCGCAUACGUCCUACGGGAGAAAGUGGGGGAUCUUCGGACCUCACGCUAUCAGAUGAGCCUAGGUCGGAUUAGCUAGUUGGUGAGGUAAAGGCUCACCAAGGCGACGAUCCGUAACUGGUCUGAGAGGAUGAUCAGUCACACUGGAACUGAGACACGGUCCAGACUCCUACGGGAGGCAGCAGUGGGGAAUAUUGGACAAUGGGCGAAAGCCUGAUCCAGCCAUGCCGCGUGUGUGAAGAAGGUCUUCAGAUUGUAUAGCACUUUAAGUUGGGAGGAAGGGCAGUAAGUUAAUACCUUGCUGUUUUGACGUUACCAACAGAAUAAGCACCGGCUAACUUCGUGCCAGCCGCCGCGGUAACAC
rnacentral:rRNA from 1 species